AUUGUCAUUUCAGUUGUCAAACACAAAAUAGGAGACACACGCAUUUUCUAUUCGGUCGACAGUGGUUUUAUAAGCAUUAAAUUUAAGAUUUUAGAGUUAAAAACAAAUAACUCCGACAAAAAUCAAACCUAAAGUCGUCAAUUUUCCAGCUCUCUUCGAAGGAGGUGAAGACAGUUGAUAUGACGAUGGUAUGGUGAUAACGAUAAACUAGGAUAAACAUUACAUGCCACACAGACGUCACUAGCAGCCGAUUUGGAUUUAGUUCAUAUAAUGUGCUAACGAGUGCAGUGUUCAAGUACAUAUUUUAUAACCGAAAUCGAAAAUUGUUUGUGUAAUUGAUUGUAAAAGAAAAUGUAAAACACAAUUGAUAUUUGAAUAUUGUGAACGAAUUGAAUGGAAAUCAGUGAACUUGAUAAGAGGAUUGCGAAAAAAAAAAAUAUUGCUUAACUUGGAGGUGCUCUGUGUUCGGUGUUUGAUGAAAAGAACCAAUAUUGUGUGAGUGUGUUACGACUACUAGCCGCUAUAAUGGAGCAGGCAUCGUCAACGACAACAGCAACCACUUCAACGAAUGCCGACGCACAUCAGAACGAUUUCUAUAACACCGGUCGGGUGGGACGACGGAAUGCGUUGCCCGACAUAUUAAACAGUCACUGUACAACAUCAACGGCUGAUUUGCCGGACAAAUUAAGUGCUCUAACUACCAACGAUCCUCUGGAGGCGAAUACAUCCACACAAUCCGGAUCGAAUGCGGAUCAUGCGAGUGCAUCUACAGAUCUUAUGAACAAUACGUGAAGGUGAGAGGUAUGAUUUUUGAUUUGUUUGCUAGGGGGUGUAGGAAGAAAUUUUCCUUAACAUUAACAAACCAAAAAACAAACAAAAAAAGACGAAACAGGACUCAGUCAAUUUGCCUCAAUUUGGUCAGCAAACAACUGAAUUUCAGCAAUGUAACCGUAAUUAUACAUCAAUUAAGAGUAGAUUUUUCAUUAAGAAUAUUUAGCGAAAGCCAGCCAAAAAGAAAUUGAUUUUUUUUUAAAUGUAUUUCGAUGGUAAAUUUACCUAUUAUGAAUAUAAGGAACCGAUAUGAUGGUCGAUGACCAGACCACAGGAGAUACAUACAAUAUUGUAACGAUACACCUCGUAUAGAUGUAAUUAUAAUUAAUUAGAGUAAAAACAAAAAAAAAACAAAUUUAUUGAUUUCUUUGUUGUGUGUACGUCUGAACGGUAUAGAAAGUGUAACAAAAUAUUUCUCAGCAACAACAACAAGAACAUUCAUUAGGUUUAUGUUGGUCACUGGACAGAAUUAUGGGUAUGAUAACGAUACUAAAAUACACAUUUUUUCGGCUACACAUUUUGAACUAUUGAUUUUGUUUCAAAUUAAAACUCUAAUUUGUUUGUAUCAUGCGACCCUGAAACAUAUUUCCUGAAUCUUUCGGACGAUGACUCGUACAUAUUGAGGGGACGGUUAGCCGACUUACAUCUUUUUCCUAGAUAAUAAAUGUUUUUCCGAUUUGUUAAUGGCAUACAUUUGAAAUUAGUCAUUUUCGUAUUGACAUUACAACGUAUAGGCAUAAUUGACACUACAAGCACGCUUCCCGCAUUUAAGCAUACGAAAGUCGAAUUGUCCAAGUUGGAAGGAUAGUUGAGAGAAAUGCAUCAACCGAAAAAUUUUUAUCUGGGAAAUGUCUUUUUGUGAUGGUAAGUGCAUAACUCUCUUCAGUUGAUGCAUGGAAAUUUUUCUUAUCUGUCCGUAAAAACCUAGAAAUCCAAUCCGUCCGAAUUCUAAUGAUACGAAACUAAACGAAAACAGAUUCGACUUUUUCCUUGGUCACCAGAAGGAACCCUUACUCUGUAAAAGCUAACAAAAAUCAUGAAGUAGAAUCCCGCUCUUUAUUAUAGUUUAGUGCUUGUCUACACUUAGACAGAGGGAUUCUUUUGAAAAACAGAAGAUCGAAAUCGGACGCAUUUUCCAGUGGAAUUUUUUAUAUGGGCCUAGAAAGGUAUUAGCCCUAGAAGCCAAAGCCGAUUUUCAAAAAAUUCUUUGAACCUUGUUUGUCUAGUGUGAGGUGACCAAAAACCGAAAACAUGCACUUUUCUUACAGAAAUUUCUCCAGUUACACGAGCCGUACAAGGUCGUGUGGGGUGUCAUUAGAAAGGUAAUUGCAUGUACUUUCGGGGCAAAUAGGGUCUUAUUUGGUUAAAGAUAUUCAUCCACGCUGAGAUAUGUGCAGUUGAAACCUGAAAACUUAUGCUUUUCUUACAGAAAAUUCUCGAGGAGCACGAAACGUACGUGGUCGUGUGGGGUGUCAUUAGAAACGUAAUUUUAUGUUCUUUCAGGACAACGAGAGUGUUAAGGAGUUUUUUAGGUCUCUUUUCACGUGACACCUCUUGGUUCAUUGUUUAGUUUGUCCUGUACAUUUCUCGAUCAAGUGACUCUUGUUCCAAAACAAACUAUUCUCGAUAGUCACCCCCCUAAUAUACCACCAAAUGGUGACCACCGAUAUUGUAUAUAAUAUAUUCACAAUAAUGAUAGCAAAGCUAAAUUUCCGUCUGACUGUCUCAGUUCAGGUACCAACGAUUUCCAUUUGCUUGUGUGUAUUUAAUGCUCACUCUCCCGAGAACCGUAUUGCUAUUCAUUUAUGCAAAUUUAAUGGAUAUCGUGCAGGACCUGUUUAUCCAACCAAAAACAGGAAAAAUGUGAUGUUGUUAUUUUGAAAAAUUAUGUUAUUAUACACGAUCUGAAAGGCGUUGAGAUUAUAUAUAUAUUUGACUGUUACUUAUUAUAUGUUCACUUAAAAGAAAGAAAAAAGGUUGACUGGCCAGAAAUAGGAAAUAAAAAUGUACGUUAAGAACGAAUAGUAACGACUUCACCGCACACGAUAUUAUCACUAAAAGAAAAAAGAUUUUUUUUGAUAGGAGUUAACCAGACACAGCCAAAUUGAGUCGGUCUUUGGAACUUUUAACGGAAUAAUUUCGUGUGAUGUGAGGGCCGUUCAUAAAUUAGGUAACGCAAAAAUCAAAAUUUUCGAAACCUCCCCGUUCGUGGAAAUGAUAAUGAUAACUUAAAAAAAAUAUGGUCCGUCACGCAAGCCUUACACCCCUAAUCCCCAUUUUGCGUUACGUAAUUUUUGAACGACCUCUUGGUGGAUAAAACAUAACGAAGGGCACAAGUACCAUUAUUUGUAGAAGUAACGAAGUUUUGAUUUUGGUUUGUGCUUGUUAAUCCAUAGACUAUAGUUUCGGAUAGUAAUUUAUUUUUGCAAAAUUUAGAAUGAGAAAUUUAUUUAUUUACGAAUAAUAUUUAUGUGACUAAAAUAAGUAACAACAAAAAUUAAUUGUAAACAAUUAAAGCAGAAGAACUUUGACUUAAUUUCAAACAAUUUAAUUUGUAUCUUAAAUUUAGAUUAUCAUUUUUAGAUAAGCUGAAACAAUAAAUUUUAUGAUUUCA